ACAGAUGUAACCAAGUGGAUUAAGGCCGUGGAUUAUGAAUCCACUAUGUGCGGUUUCAAUUCCCGUCAUUCGCC
rnacentral:tRNA from 1 species